rnacentral:rRNA from 1 species
CGCUGGCGGCAGGCCUAAUACAUGCAAGUCGAACGGCAGCGACAGCAGAGCUUGCUCUGUGGGUGGCGAGUGGCGGACGGGUGAGGAAUACGUGGGAAUCUGCCCAGUCGUGGGGAUAACGUAGGGAUACUUACGCUAAUACCGCAUGCGCCCUUCGGGGGAAAGCCGGGGACCUUCGGGCCUGGCGCGAUUGGAUGAGCCCACGUCGGAUUAGCUAGUUGGCGGGGUAAAGGCCCACCAAGGCGACGAUCCGUAGCUGGUCUGAGAGGAUGAUCAGCCACACUGGAACUGAGACACGGUCCAGACUCCUACGGGAGGCAGCAGUAGGGAAUAUUGGACAAUGGGCGCAAGCCUGAUCCAGCCAUGCCGCGUGAGUGAAGAAGGCCCCUCGGGUUGUAAAGCUCUUUUGUCCGGAAAGAAAAGCGCCGGGUUAAUACCCUGGUGUCCUGACGGUACCGGAAGAAUAAGCACCGGCUAACUUCGUG